UACGUAGGGUGCGAGCGUUGUCCGGAAUUAUUGGGCGUAAAGAGCUUGUAGGCGGUUUAUCGCGUCUGCCGUGAAAAUUCGAGGCUCAACCUCGAACUUGCGGUGGGUACGGGCAGACUAGAGUGUGGUAGGGGAGACUGGAAUUCCUGGUGUAGCGGUGAAAUGCGCAGAUAUCAGGAGGAACACCGAUGGCGAAGGCAGGUCUCUGGGCCACUACUGACGCUGAGAAGCGAAAGCAUGGGGAGCGAACAGG
rnacentral:rRNA from 1 species